CGCUCGAAGUAGCCGGUCAUAGCUCAAAAGGAGCUCCGCGAAGUGAAAUAAAUUCGUUUUCAAAAUAUCCAAAGCUAUUCCCAGUGGUAACAAAAAUAAUUACAAACUGAAAAGUGGAAACUUAUCUAAAUCAACUGAAACCAGCGUUCCAGUGAGCGUUUGUUCGAUUGUGGCCUGCUGUUGGAAGCGAGCCGCUGCCGCCCGUCGGACCCCUACCACUCAACGAACGAAUCCUGGCACUUUCAAAUCACGCAGGCAAAAAAAAUUCUAAGAGAAUUAGAAUUUAGAGAGAAAAAAUUUCCCUUCACCCAGCCGAGAAUCGAUCCCGGGUCUCCCAGAUACGCCCCGGGCACUCUUACCGACUAAGCUACCGGGAACCACAGAAGGCCUCCACACAGAUCGAGACCCUUUGAAACAACGAUCCAGAGUCAUUGACGAGCAGAAACCGGUCAGGAAAAUUAAGGUGAUCCUAACCAGGUCAGCUCCAGCGCUGGAAGUAGCCGGUCAUAGCUCAAGAAGAGCUCCGCGAAGUGAAAUAAAUUCGUCCUUGAAUAUCCAGAGCUAUUCUCAGUGAAAAGGAAAAGCAAUUACAAACUGAAAAGUGAAAAUUUAUUCAAAUAAACUGAAACCAGUGAUCUAGUGAGCUUUUGUUCAAUCGUUGCCUGCCGUCGGAAGCGAGCCGUUGUCACCCAUCGGACGAGUUAUCCCACAGAGAUCCUGCUGUUAGAAGCGUACCUCUGUUACCCGACGGACAACUCUUGGUACCUUUUGACCCAGCCCUUGCAGAUCGAGACUCUUUGAGACAACAACGCAGAGUCAUUAACUAGCAGAGAAUGUACACCGGAUCAGUUGUAACCUCUCGGAUGAUAGAGGUGAUCUGGGCCGUCGGAAAAACUCCAGCUUUCCUCUGACAGGCUGGGUAACGUCCUUUUGCUACACACCCACACGUUCAGUUCCUCUCCUUUUUUUUGUUUGGUAAGUUUUCAGUUCUUCAGUAUAUUCACUUUCAAAUUGUUUUGAUUUAAUUCACGGGAGCUCUUCGGAGCUUAUGACCGGCGAUUUCAAGAGUUGGCGUUGAACUGACUGUUCGCUCCGGCGUCGGGAGGUACAUCGACUGAAGAAACGUGGCGCACGGGGUGUCUCUGGCGCGCAAGAGUGGGAGUACUGCGUUGAGCGGGCGGACUUGCUGCCUAACAGUGGAGAUCACGCAUGGCGCUACCAAUUUUCAAAGUUCACGGGCACACGGAUACAGAUGCGUUUGAGUACGCGAGUGUAGAUUUUCAAAAAUUCAUAUCUUCGCUGCUUACAGAGAUUAAGGAACAAUUCAUAGCGGUUCUGAUGGAGGGUUUAAAGAUCUCCAUUUCAUGAUUUU